rnacentral:rRNA from 1 species
UACGUAGGGCGCAAGCGUUGUCCGGAAUUAUUGGGCGUAAAGAGCGCGUAGGCGGCUUGUCACGUCGGGUGUGAAAGCCCGGGGCUUAACCCCGGGUCUGCAUUCGAUACGGGCUAGCUAGAGUGUGGUAGGGGAGAUCGGAAUUCCUGGUGUAGCGGUGAAAUGCGCAGAUAUCAGGAGGAACACCAGUGGCGAAGGCGGAUCUCUGGGCCAUUACUGACGCUGAGGAGCGAAAGCGUGGGGAGCGAACAGG